rnacentral:misc_RNA from 1 species
GAUGAAGAACGUAGCGAAAUGCGAUAAGUAAUGUGAAUUGCAGAAUUCCGUGAGUCAUCGAAUCUUUGAACGCACAUUGCGCCCACUGGUAUUCCGGUGGGCAUGCCUGUUCGAGCGUCAUUAUCCUCCCUCAAACCCCGGGUUUGGUGUUGGACCCAAGUUGUGUGAACAACUGGUCUCAAAGACAAUGACGGCGUCCGUGGGACCCUCGGUGCAACGAGCUUUUAGGAGCACGCAUCGAGUUGCAAGGACCUUCCGGGCCGGUCUCCUUUACCAUUUUACAAGGUUGACCUCGGAUCAGGUAGGAAUACCCGCUGAACUUAAGCAUAUCAAUAAGCGGAGGA